rnacentral:rRNA from 1 species
UACGUACCGUCCAAACGUUAUUCGGAUUUACUGGGCUUAAAGGGUGCGUAGGCGGCUCAGAAAGUAGGGUGUGAAAGCCCUCGGCUUAACCGAGGAAUUGCGCUCUAAACUACUGGGCUUGAGGAACGCAGAGGUAAGCGGAACUUACGGUGGAGCGGUGAAAUGCGUUGAUAUCGUAAGGAACGCCAGGAGCGAAAGCGGCUUACUGGGCGUUUUCUGACGCUGAGGCACGAAAGCUAGGGGAGCGAACGGG